CAGCAGCCGCGGUAAAACGUAGGUGGCAAGCGUUGUCCGGAAUUAUUGGGCGUAAAGGGCUCGCAGGCGGUUUCUUAAGUCUGAUAUGAAAGCCCCCGGCUCAACCGGGGAGGGUCAUUGGAAACUGGGAAACUUGAGUGCAGAAGAGGAGAGUGGAAUUCCACGUGUAGCGGUGAAAUGCGUAGAGAUGUGGAGAAACACCAGUGGCGAAGGCGACUCUCUGGUCCGUAACUGACGCUGAGGAGCGAAAGCGUGGGGAGCGAACAGGAUUAGAUACCCGCGUAGUCCCUGUCUCUUAUAC
rnacentral:rRNA from 1 species